rnacentral:rRNA from 1 species
GACGAACGCUGGCGGCGUGCCUAAUACAUGCAAGUCGAGCGGACCAAUAGAAGCUUGCUUCUAUUGGUUAGCGGCGGACGGGUGAGUAACACGUGGGCAACCUGCCUGUAAGACUGGGAUAACUUCGGGAAACCGGAGCUAAUACCGGAUAAUUCAUCCCCUCGCAUGAGGGGGUGCUGAAAGUCGGUUCACGCUGACACUUACAGAUGGGCCUGCGGCGCAUGAGCUAGUUGGUGAGGUAAUGGCUAACCAAGGCGACGAUGCGUAGCCGACCUGAGAGGGUGAUCGGCCACACUGGGACUGAGACACGGCCCAGACUCCUACGGGAGGCAGCAGUAGGGAAUCUUCCACAAUGGACGAAAGUCUGAUGGAGCAACGCCGCGUGAGCGAUGAAGGCCUUCGGGUCGUAAAGCUCUGUUGUUAGGGGAGAACAAGUACCGGAGUAACUGCCGGUACCUUGACGGUACCUAACCAGAAAGCCACGGCUAACUACGUGCCAGCCGCCGCAGUAA